UACGUAGGGUGCAAGCGUUUAUCCGGAAUUAUUGGGCGUAAAGAGCUCGUAGGCGGUUUGUCACGUCUGCUGUGAAAACUGGAGGCUCAACCUCCAGCCUGCAGUGGGUACGGGCAGACUAGAGUGCGGUAGGGGAAAUUGGAAUUCCUGGUGUAGCGGUGGAAUGCGCAGAUAUCAGGAGGAACACCGAUGGCGAAGGCAGAUCUCUGGGCCGUAACUGACGCUGAGGAGCGAAAGCAUGGGGAGCGAACAGG
rnacentral:rRNA from 1 species